GUUCGAUCAGAGGAGAAGAAGAAAGGGGGAAAACCCUCUCAAACCCUAAUCGACAAAUUGGAUGGGAUUCGAGCUGAAUUCGAACUUGCAUGAGCCUAAAUAGUGAUUAUCUAAGCAAGCUUUAGCCAAGCGUAGUAGUCAUGUCAACAUGGACACGAGCAUGGAAGGGCAAUGGGUCAAAGGUAAAUACGGAAGCUAUACACGAACUCGGACGCACGAGGUAUCGCACGGAUUUCCUCUACCACUAGCCAAGAUAAGCAAGCGGUGAUCGAGUCAAUUAACAAGGGUUGUACGGAAAAAUAGUCACAUAGUUUGAAUUUUGUAUUGUAAAGUAUCAAUUUUAAGUAUGAAUGUUGUAGUUCCCUUCUAGAAAAUGUUUGAUAUAUAUUGUAAUUUUAGGCUUAAUGUAGGGAAUGCAACUAAAUAAGAAA